AUUUCAAAGUAUUGUCUAUCCAUACUAUCACCUGCAAUUGGAUUCAUUCUAUGUGGCAUCAUGUUGGCUGUUUUCCUCUGCAGAAAAGGUAUGACGAGGACACUGAAUCAGGAUCCAGUCGAGGAUCAAUUUCCUCCUGAGUCAGAAGAGGGUACCACUGCUCAUUUGAAAAAUAACACAUGGAGGAGUCAAUAUACAGAGUUGCAGAAUUCAAUCUAUGGUCACUUCUGAGCUGACGAGACAUCCACAUACAGUUACACCGAGACUUG